rnacentral:rRNA from 1 species
UACGAAGGGUGCAAGCGUUACUCGGAAUUACUGGGCGUAAAGCGUGCGUAGGUGGUUUGUUAAAGUCUGUUGUGAAAGCCCCGGGCUCAACCUGGGAACUGCAUUUGAUACUCUGGAGCUUGAGUACGGGAGAGGAUAGUGGAAUUCCCAGUGAUAGAGGUGAAAUUCGUAGAUAUUGGGAAGAACACCGGUGGCGAAGGCGGCUACUCGUG